GUAGGGUGCAAGCGUUAUCCGGAAUUAUUGGGCGUAAAGGGCUCGUAGGCGGUUCGUCGCGUCCGGUGUGAAAGUCCAUCGCUUAACGGUGGAUCCGCGCCGGGUACGGGCGGGCUUGAGUGCGGUAGGGGAGACUGGAAUUCCCGGUGUAACGGUGGAAUGUGUAGAUAUCGGGAAGAACACCAAUGGCGAAGGCAGGUCUCUGGGCCGUUACUGACGCUGAGGAGCGAAAGCGUGGGGAGCGAACAGGAUUAGAUACCCUGGUAGUCCACGCCGUAAACGGUGGAUGCUGGGUGUGGGGCCCGUUCCACGGGUUCCGUGUCGGAGCUAACGCGUUAAGCAUCCCGCCUGGGGAGU
rnacentral:rRNA from 1 species